UGUUUUCCAUCCUCUUCCUCAGCCUGAGCACAGUUCAGCAGGGUGGCGAGGACGUCACUUUGGAUGGCUGUAUCUUCUUCUCUCAGUCAAGGGUGAGGCUAAAGCCUGAAGAUGAAAGCUUGACUCCUUGUUGGGUAUAUCUGGCCACAGAUGAUUAGGGAGGAGGCCCCAGACUGAACUUUUUCUCCAACUCUUCCUUUAGGUAGAAAGGGAUGGAAUGCAGGAUUAUGAUGACUUAAUGGGAAAAGACAGACUCCAUGCAUGGAGUUGCCUUAAUAAACAGAGGAUUUAACACUGAAGCCAGAGAAGUCUGGGUCUUAAUCAAUCUAUAUGAGACCAAUUCUAUUACAGACACAAGAGUGAGUCUCCAUCCUUUUAAGACUUAAUUUGCUCUUCUCACGUCAAAGCAGAAAUGGGAUGCAACUGUCUAACUGCCAACUCUAAGAAAUUAUUUAUGAAAAGACAAAUUCCCCACAAGGCCAUCCAGAGAAGGGGGGAAGACAAGGGGAGCAAAAGGAAGAAAGAAAAGAAGGGUGGGGGGAAGGCAACCGGUAGACCUGGCGCUUGACACUAAAGGUUUAACAUCAAAUGCAGCCAGAAAUCCAUUUCCACAGUUUUACUGGCCAUUCUGGACGCCUCAUUUCAAAGGGAAAGAUUUGAAUUCAGAGACAUAACGUUCCCUUUGUUCUCUUGCCCUCCAGCCUUUGGUGCCAGUGUGGACUGUACUACAGGGAGAGGGUGAGAUCAAACCCCUCUCCGCUCAGCUACCUGCCCCAGAGCUGGCCCUUGGCAUGCUUAAUGAAAUCAGCUUCUCGAUAGAUUGACAAUGCCCUGUCAAUUAUAAUCAUUUAUCUUGGCAAGCAGAGCAUUGGAACACUUAAAAGAGCAGGGGUUCAGCAG
rnacentral:lncRNA from 1 species